rnacentral:rRNA from 1 species
UCCUGAACGUUCCACCCUGAAUAUGUCCAAUUUUGUUUGAUUUUAGAAGCUAAGUAGAGUCAAGCAGGGUUAGUUCUUGUGUGGGAGACCAUCAGGGGAAACCAAGGAUCUCCAAGAA